UACAGAGGUCUCAAGCGUUGUUCGGAUUCAUUGGGCGUAAAGGGCGUGUAGGCGGUCCGCUAAGUCUGAUGUGAAAGCCCGGGGCUCACCCCCGGAAGGGCAUUGGAAACUGGCGGACUCGAGUCCAGGAGAGGAAGGUGGAAUUCCUGGUGUAGCGGUGAAAUGCGUAGAUAUCAGGAGGAAUACCGGUGGCGAAGGCGGCCUUCUGGACGGUGACUGACGCUGAGACGCGAAAGCGUGGGGAGCAAACAGG
rnacentral:rRNA from 1 species